GACGAACGCUGGCGGCGUGCCUAAUACAUGCAAGUCGAGCGAAUGGAAGGGAGCUUGCUCCCUGAAGUUAGCGGCGGACGGGUGAGUAACACGUGGGCAACCUGCCUGUAAGACUGGGAUAACUUCGGGAAACCGGAGCUAAUACCGGAUACGUUCUUUCCUCGCAUGAGGAAAGAUGGAAAGAUGGUUUCGGCUAUCACUUACAGAUGGGCCCGCGGCGCAUUAGCUAGUUGGUGGGGUAACGGCCCACCAAGGCGACGAUGCGUAGCCGACCUGAGAGGGUGAUCGGCCACACUGGGACUGGGACACGGCCCAGACUCCUACGGGAGGCAGCGGUAGGGAAUCUUCCGCAAUGGACGAAAGUCUGACGGAGCAACGCCGCGUGAGCGAAGAAGGCCUUCGGGUCGUAAAGCUCUGUUGUCAGGGAAGAACAAGUGCCAGAGUAACUGCUGGCACCUUGACGGUACCUGACCAGAAAGCCACGGCUAACUACGUGCCAGCCGCCGCCGUAA
rnacentral:rRNA from 1 species